rnacentral:rRNA from 1 species
CUAAAAUGGUAUAGAAUUUCGGUUACCCGUCUUUCCCCCUUUGUUUAUACGUACCACAUGUUUUCCUCGGGGGGCUUGCCCCCCGCUUAGGACACCCCAUAAACCUUUUUGUAAUAGCAGUUAGCGUCUGAAAACUAAGUUAAUUAUUAAAACUUUCAACAAUGGAUCUCUUGGUUCUGGCAUCGAUGAAGAACGCAG